rnacentral:rRNA from 1 species
CCUUGUACACACCGCCCGUCAAGCCACGGAAGCUGGGAGCACCCGAAGUCGUUUGCCUAACCCGCCUCGGCGGGAGGACGGCGCCGAAGGUGAAACUAGUGACUGGGGCU